GUGUCAGACUUGAGACUGUGUCUCCAUGAGCGAGAUUUUACACCAGGCAAAUCAAUCGGCGAGAACAUAACCAAGGCAAUAUGUAACAGCAGAAAAGUUUUGUGCGUCGUAACAGAGAACUUUUUGUGCUCUCAGUGGUGUAUGUAUGAACUAGAGAUGGCCCUCACAGACAACAGGUACUCCAGAGACGAUCAAUCGGUUUUCCUCAUCAUGUACGGAGGAUUGCCGACCGAUAGCUGUAAAAUUCGUUCAUCGAUCCGACUUAUGUCUUUAGUGAAGGAGAACGCCUAUCUGGAAUAUCCUAAUGAUGAGAGCAAUAGAGCAGAAUUCUGGAAUUCACUAAGACUAAUAGUGAGAGAAGCCGCUAAAGCUGAGUAACAAAACGAACAGAAUUCAACUCCAAUAAAAUAUCACGGUGAUAUGUGCAAUAGUCAAAAACACUGUUGACUUUUUUGGAAGAGUUAAAUGAUAUGUCCAAUUCUUUAAAGUAUUGCCUGAUUUUCCUGUCCCUAAAUUUGUCGUUUAGAAUGACAACUGUUUGUAAAUUGCAAUAUGUAGUUUUUUGCACUUGCAUCUUGAAGAUGCUCUGUUACUAUUUUUAGAAGUAGAACUAUUACUUUUUCAUGAUUUUGAAAUAUAUUUCAACAUAUUAAGUUUUACGCAUGUGGUCAAUAUGACAUUUCUCUAGAAAAACUAUUUAUAUCACGUUUUGACUUGGAUUUAGCAGAAUACAAUUAAUGAUCCAACAACCGAUUUCUUUCCUGAACAUUGCCUUCAAUUCAGUACUUCCAUGGCACUGGGAACCAUUCAAGUUAAACGAUUCCUCAAUUUAAAGAAAUAAUCUACAGUGACAAAAAAAUAAACACUACAAUGAAGCUCAAAAUUAUGCGAGAAUAAAAUAUUAAAGAUUUAAAAAAAAAACAAAGUAGCCAUCGAGGCAAAAACUAGUCAAGUAACUUUGAAAUUGUCUUGUUGCAUAUUAUAUUACCAUGAUUAAAUACUUCCUCUUUUUGUUGUAAAUAUCAUUUUAAUAUUAAUGUGAUAAUUCUACAAUUUGUAUGAAGAGAAUUCAUUCUAAUCAUUCUAAUAUUCAUAUAAAAAUUGUACUAUUUGAGGUUGAUAAUGAGAAAUUUGAAAAUGAGGUUUCAUCAAGAUUGAUAUAUAUUGCUUUCCUGCAAUAUAUGUAUUUGUCAAAUAAAUGUUUGGUUUAAU
rnacentral:misc_RNA from 1 species